rnacentral:rRNA from 1 species
UACGAAGGGGGAGCUAGCGUUGUUCGGAUUCAUUGGGUCGUAAAGGGUGCGUAUGGCGGCGCGGUAAGUCGGGUGUGAAAUCUCCGGGGCUUAACUCCGAAACUGCAUUGAAUGACUGCCGUGCUUGAGGACUGGAGAGGAGGAUGGAAUUUGACGGUGUAGCGGUGAAAAUGCGUAGAUAUCGUAAGGAAGACCCAGUGGCGAAGGCGGGUCUCUGGACAGUCCUGACGCUGAGGCACGAAGGCCAGGGGAGGCAAACGGG